ACCUCCAUCCCGGAAUGUAAGCUGACUGUACCACUUGCAUUGUAAGACUGGUUUGAUCCUCUAGUAGUUGGAAAAUUCGUCUACCUUCUUCGUAGCUGCUUCCAAAUGCUGCUCGGGAAAUCACAUCUCUUGUCAAUUUUACGAGGUAAGGCCACACAUCUAACUCACUAGACCCCUCUAAGAAAACCAGCUUCUCCCAUUUGCUGAUCAUCUCAAUACAACUUUGAUAGAAAGCUGGCAACAUGUUCUGUAAUGAUUUCCACAUCAGGAUAAGAUUACUGUCAUUGGUACUAUUUUUGAACAAUUAAUACAUGUAUAUACUAAGUACUCAUUAACACCGUAAGCAAAUUUGGGAUGAAAUAAGUUAAUUUUGGUGCAGGGAGCCAUAAAUUUUCCUCGAUGUUUCUCCAUUAUUACUGCAUUUUCCAGGUGUUCCCAUAAAGGCUUCCUCACCAGCCACAACACUCAAAACAAACCAAGGAAGGAAUACCCAGUGCUACUCUGACUCAGUUGCAAUAAUUACCUCACCCAGGAUAAUUAAAGGAUGCAUAUUGAUAAAGAAAUCAAAAGUGGAAAUAGAACAUGCCUUCAACUUAUCUUGAUGAAAUGCAGGGUUGAUGAUCUUUCUAUGCUUAGCCCACUCCUCUCCAUCGAGGUUUACAAGUCCACUUACAAGUAAGGUGACAAGAGGGUUGCUAUGCGGCUUCUGAAAGUCAUUGAAUUUGGUAAAUAUCUCUCUUAUUUCUUCAGGUUCCAUGAUGGUCACCCUUGGAAUCGGACCAACCCAAGAAAAAGAACUCUUGCCUGCAUUUUCCCCAGAUUUCAUAUCAAAGCAUUGGGAAUUAAAAUUUUAAUUCAAAGAUUAAUUAAAUGCUUUCAGUGUGUUUAAUUACUCAAUUUUGAAUAUUCCUUUAAUAAAAUGUUAGGUUGUUGGAAUCUGCCUCAUGUACUUAACCAAUAUUUUAUAAUUCUUGUAUUUGAAUACUUAUGUUAUCCAUUAAACUUUUCAAUGCCAUUAAAACAGUAAUAAAAAUUUAUUCAAUAAUCAUUUUUGAUAAUGUACAGAAAGAAGAAGAAUUGAACAAUUAUUAACCCAAACAUGUCAUCAUACCCAACUUCAGCAAAAUGGCUUGUGGGCUCCAAUGGACUUUUGGCUUAUCCGUCACUUUCAUGUAUUUUUUAGUUUUUCUCCCAUUUGCCAUUUCAAUAUUAAAAUACUCCGGGAAAAAAAUUGGCUUAAAUUACUCAUACUAAACUUGAAUUAUGUUGUUCAGAAAAGAUUUUCCUAUAUUUUUUGAUCUAAAUUUAAACAUUUUCUUUCUGAUAGUAUUUCUUUCAAUUAAUCACUGUUUUCACUGAAUAAAACUUCGCAUGUUCAACAAUCACAGUAAUUGACACAUAUCAUUAAAAUAAUCAUCGAUUAAAUGGAUUCAUUUAAUUAUGUAUCAAAAAAUUGAUACAAAAUUAAAUACAUGUUAAAACUGAACGGACUAAAACCAUUUUUCAUGUUACUAAGAUGGAACAAAACACUAAAAAUUUUGUAAUAAAAUCAUAAUUUGAUCCAAAAAGACAACAUUCAAACUAUUAAGGGAUGAAAGAAGACCAUUUCCAAUUUAGGCAUACCAUAAUUCUUGACAGUUUGAUGAAGGAAAGGACCAACAUAUUGCGUAAUAUCAUCACCGAGGGGCAUAGGUUGGGAUCUUGCUUGUCUGCUCAUGGCGAAGCUCUCUUUGAUAUCUCCAGACAAAAACCUGUAAGAAUUGCCUGUAAGACCCUGUUGCCUCAGGCACCUUUCCAGCCUCUUUGGCUUCACCCACACCCAGUCUACGAUUCUCCAUCCCCAUAUCAAUAUCCCAACAACAAGGAAAGAAAGCGAAAUUCCAAUUACAGGGGGCACCUCCAUUUUUCUUUGCUGAGAAAAUGGUGUCUGAAGAGUAAGUGGGUUGUUUACGGAAGAGUAGACAAAGACUGAGGUUGGUUUAUGGGGUAAAAAGCUUGUGCAAUGGGCAAAGACAAAUGGUUGAUGUUACAGCUGAUAAGAGGUUCCUGGUGUCAAGGCAGGCGACGUGUACCUAAAUAUGACGAUUUAUGUUUUCGUAUCGUAAACGUAUCAAACACGAUUAGACACGAAAUAUAUUAAAAUUAAAUAUAAAUAUGAUAUAUUUAAUAUUCGUAUUUUAAAUUUAAAAUAUAUACACAUAUACGUUUAAUAAACGUAUAACAUGACACGACACGAUUAACACAUUUAUUAAACGUGUCAAUUUAUAACACGAUACGAUUAAUAAUACGUUUAACAUAAUUAUAUAAAAAUAUUUAAAAUUAAAUAUAAUUUUAUUAUUUAAAUUUAAAAUCUAUAAUUAUAAAAAUAAUUAUAAUAAAACAAAAAAAAAUAAUAUCAAAUAUAAUGAAAUUUAAUAUAAAUCACAUAUGCAAAAUUUAUUAUCAUAUAAUAUGAUAAAAUACAUCAUUAACAUCUAACUUUCAAAUACUAAUAAUAUAAAAAAUCAUUCAUAAUUUUUAAUCAUAAUAAUUACAUUAUUACAUUUAUAAAAUUAAAAAAACUUAUUAAAAUAAUUAUUUAAAAUUAUUUAUAUAAAACUAAAAUAAUCUUUAAUAAUUAUUUUUAAUAAGUUAAUAAACGUGUUACAUAUACACAUUUAAAUACGAUAACACGAUUAAAAAAAUAUAUUUAAAUGUGUUUGUCGUGUCUGACACGUUAAGACAAAAUUCAAACCAAAUUAAGAGUUUUUUUUUUGAAAUUCAAACCAAAUUAAGAGUCUAGUGUUAACAUUACACCAGCAACAAAAUUCAACUAGGAUGGGAAACACCCAAAACCUCUAUUUAGGGGUUUGAAAGCCCUUGUUUCCAGUGUUUGAAGAAAUCUGAAAAAUGGUACAAAAUUAACCAAUGGUUUAUUGGUUUUCAGAUUUAGACAAGUGAACUUAGAGUAACUUAUGUGAGACUUCGGAUACUCUUGAACCUUGAGCCAAUUAGAUAUUUCACAGACAGAUUGGUUCUCCUGAGUUUAAUUUUCAAUGUCUCAAAAGAUCUUUUUUGUUGCUUAAAAGAGAAAGCACCAUAGUUGAGGUCUAGCAAUUCAUCCCAUAAGUACAUGCUUCAUUGAGAGUUUGAGACUUGGCCCCUACGCUUGUAUUUGAAUUGUGUUACACUAUGAACGCUAGAUUUUGAUUAACAUUUACAUGAUGAACGAUGAACGUGAUUAUUGAUUGGGUUGUUUAACAUAUAACCUGAUGGUUUUACCACUAGAGUUUAUGUAAAAUUAUGUGAGCACCAUGCUGUGGACGUAGAGUGAUGUUGGUGCAGGGAGAGUGAGCAUAGGAAGGGGAAAGCUCGAACCAGAAUUGUCUGAGGAUCAUUGCAAGCGCCAUUUUUGCUUCCAUCAGAGCAAAGUUCUGUCCAAUGCAGAUUCUAGGACCCCAUCCAAAAGGGAAAUAUAUGACUUGACUCUUUGUUGCUUUCGAAACCCCUUCCGAGAACCUGUCAGGAUUGAACUCAUGUGCAUCAUCGCCCCAAAGUUCUUGAUCAUGGUGAAUCAGCAGCACUGGCAGCGUAAUUUCUGCGCCAGCUGGUAACAACAAUUUUCCCAGUCUCGUAUCUUUCGGAACGGAGCGCCCUAGUGCAACGACUGCCGGGUACAGCCUAAGAACCUCGUGCAAGAUCAUUGUUACCUGUGGCAUUGAAUCAAUUAAAGUAAAUAUAGAAAAAUGUGCUCUUAAUUUGGUCCAUUAUAAUCGGAGAACAGGACUUACGACUUUCAGACGGUUCAAGCCAUCAGAAUCUGGUUUACUGUCACCAAAAACUUCCAAAACCUCUUCUCUUGCCUUAGUCUGCCAAUGUGGAUGCCUUGCCAACAAAAUCAUUGUCCAAACCAGCAAAACGGAGGUGGUCUCUUGGCCAGCAAAGUAAAACAGCUUGCACUCCUCAAUCACAUCUUCAAUGCUCAUUCCCAUGUUCUUGUGAUCCCCUUGUUCUUGAAUUUCUCUAAUGUUGGAUUCUACAAGUAUGCCUAACAAGUCAUCAUUACUGACUUCACUCGCCUUAGUUGCCUCCUCUCUUUUCUUUAUCAUUCCCUUCAGUGAGUCUUUUAUAUCUUUGGCAAUCACCUUCAUCUUCCUGUUUGUCUUAGUUGGUAGAUACCUAAUAAGACAAAUGUAAAAUAUAGCUUUUAGCACAUAAAGAAGAAAAUCCUUGACCAAAAUGGAUUGAACUGUGAAAAAUAACAAAUUUUACCUCCAUCCCGGAAUGUAAGCUGACUGUACCACUUGCAUUGUAAGACUGGUUUGAUCCUCUAGUAGUUGGAAAAUUCGUCUACCUUCUUCGUAGCUGCUUCCAAAUGCUGCUCGGGAAAUCACAUCUCUUGUCAAUUUUACGAGGUAAGGCCACACAUCUAACUCACUAGACCCCUCUAAGAAAACCAGCUUCUCCCAUUUGCUGAUCAUCUCAAUACAACUUUGAUAGAAAGCUGGCAACAUGUUCUGUAAUGAUUUCCACAUCAGGAUAAGAUUACUGUCAUUGGUACUAUUUUUGAACAAUUAAUACAUGUAUAUACUAAGUACUCAUUAACACCGUAAGCAAAUUUGGGAUGAAAUAAGUUAAUUUUGGUGCAGGGAGCCAUAAAUUUUCCUCGAUGUUUCUCCAUUAUUACUGCAUUUUCCAGGUGUUCCCAUAAAGGCUUCCUCACCAGCCACAACACUCAAAACAAACCAAGGAAGGAAUACCCAGUGCUACUCU
rnacentral:lncRNA from 1 species